AUCCAGCUGAUAAGUCCAAAAUAAGACGAAACGUGUGUCCUGGAU
rfam:Schistosoma mattheei strain Denwood, Zambia genome assembly, scaffold: SMTD_scaffold0020730